rnacentral:rRNA from 1 species
GAUGAACGCUGGCGGCGUGCCUAAUACAUGCAAGUCGAGCGAACAGACGAGGCGCUUGCUCCUCUGCCGUUAGCGGCGGACGGGUGAGUAACACGUAGAUAACCUAUCUAUAAGACUGGGAUAACUUCGGGAACCCGGAGCUAAUAUCGGAUAAUAUAUUGAACCGCAUGGUUCAAUAGUGAAAGACGGAUUUGCUGUCACUUAUACAUGGUUCCGCGCCGCAUUAGCUAGUUGGUAAGGUAACGGCUUACCAAGGCAACGAUGCGUAGCCGACCUGAGAGGGUGAUCGGCCACACUGGAACUGAGACACGGUCCAGACUCCUACGGGAGGCAGCAGUAGGGAAUCUUCCGCAAUGGGCGAAAGCCUGACGGAGCAACGCCGCGUGAGUGAUGAAGGUCUUCGGAUCGUAAAACUCUGUUAUUAGGGAAGAACAAAUGUGUAAGUAACUAUGCACGUCUUGACGGUACCUAAUCAGAAAGCCACGGCUAACUACGUG